UUGCACCCUCCACGUAGCUCCUUCGACGAGUCGAGUUGUUUGGGAAUGCAGCUCUAAAUGGGAGGUAAAUUUCUUCUAAAGCUAAAUACCGGCCAGAGACCGAUAGCGCACAAGUAGAGUGAUCGAAAGAUGAAAAGCACUUUGGAAAGAGAGUUAAAAAGCACGUGAAAUUGUUGAAAGGGAAGCGCCCGCAACCAGACUUUGCGGCGGUGUUCGGCUGGUCUUCUGACCGGUUUACUCGCCGCCGUGAGGCCAUCAUCGUCUGGGACCGCUGGAUAAGACCUGAGGAAUGUAGCUCCCUUCGGGGUGUGUUAUAGCCUCUGGUGAUGCAGCGCGUCUCGGGCGAGGUCCGCGCUUCGGCAAGGAUGAUGGCGUAAUGGUUGUCGGCGGCCCGUCUUGAAACACGGACCAAGGAGUCUAACAUCUAUGCGAGUGUUCGGGUGUCAAACCCCUACGCGUAAUGAAAGUGAACGGAGGUGGGAACUUUUUGUGCACCAUCGACCGAUCCUGAUGUCCUCGGAUGGAUUUGAGUAAGAGCAUAGCUGUUGGGACCCGAAAGAUGGUGAACUAUGCCUGAAUAGGGUGAAGCCAGAGGAAACUCUGGUGGAGGCUCGCAGCGGUUCUGACGUGCAAAUCGAU
rnacentral:rRNA from 1 species